UUGGAGGGCAAGUCUGGUGCCAGCAGCCGCGGUAAUUCCAGCUCCAAUAGCGUAUAUUAAAGUUGUUGCAGUUAAAAAGCUCGUAGUUGAAUUUCGGGGUCAGUAGGUUGGUCGUGCCACUGGUAUGCAUUGGUCUCACUGAUUCCUCCUUCCUGAUGAACCGUAAUGCCAUUAAUUUGGUGUUGCGGGGAAUCUGGACUGUUACUUUGAAAAAAUUAGAGUGUUUAAAGCAGGCUAACGCUUGAAUACAUUAGCAUGGAAUAAUGAAAUAGGACGAUCGAUCCUAUUUUGUUGGUUUCUAGGAUUGACGUAAUGAUUAAUAGGGAUAGUUGGGGGCAUUAGUAUUCAAUUGUCAGAGGUGAAAUUCUUGGAUUUAUUGAAGACUAACUACUGCGAAAGCAUUUGCCAAGGAUGUUUUCAUUAAUCAAGAACGAAAGUUAGGGGAUCGAAGACGAUCAGAUACCGUCGUAGUCUUAACCAUAAACUAUGCCGACUAGGGAUCGGAUGAUGUUAAUUUUUUAAUGACUCAUUCGGCGCCUUACGGGAAA
rnacentral:rRNA from 1 species